rnacentral:tRNA from 1 species
GGUUGUGGCUCAGUGGUAGAGUGCUUGCCUAGCAUGUGUGAAGCACUGGGUUCGAUUCUCAGCACCA